UUUUUUGAAGAAGGUAAAAUCGAAUAUAUUUAUCAGAAACUUAGUCUCUCAAGCAUAAGAGGUGCCAAAGAAGAGCUAAGAAGAGUGUCUGUUACAUGAGGUUACCAAAAAGAAACUAAGUGUUACAACCACAGAGAAGCACGCUAAAAGCACAAAAGAGAUUGAAAAUAAAAAAUGAACUCCCGAACAUAAAAGGGGAUUAAGCCACCACACGUGAUAGUUAAAAAAAAAAGGUGAUUUGCCUUCAACCACCAGAAGGAUUGAAGCUUAAUUUCAUCUAUAAGUUGAUUAAUAGAUUCUCCCUUUUGUGUGAAGACCCUAACAUUCUUGCCACACCAAAUAAUCCAAACACAUGAAAGCUAGAUCAUAUAAAAAGCAUAACAAAUGUUCUUAAGAGAAACCACCUAAAGAUACAAUAUCUUCUUUAGAGCCACAUCCACAUGAAUAAAAAGAUGUAUUCGGCUGAAGUACAUGUCUUCUGAUUAAGUUCUCAAUUAUUGGAAGACGAUUUCGAAUUAAACGCAAAUGAAGACGUUGACUUUUAAAGUAAUCUCCUUGUGUCAAAUGAUAGUGUGGUCAUUGUUUAAAGGUUGAUCCAUUGAUGUCAAAAAGUUGUAAGCACUAGUAACAAUGUAUUUUGAUGAGGCAUGAAGUUGUCAAAUCCACCUGUCAUUCACAUCAGCAUGCAAAACAAUAGGUAAUAAAAACGAACAACACUCACACUCCAAUUCUUCCUCCCAAGUCUCAAGUUAACAACCUCCUUUACCAUUUUCAAGCCUCGUCUUCCUCCCUCAUCCUAACAAAAACAUAUCUGCCACAGUUGCCAAUUUGCUAUCAAAAAGGUCAUAAAGACUACUAAAUCUAUCCUUAAGAAUACCUCCCUCCAAUCAAGGAUCCCACUAAAAUAAAGUUCCUACUACAUCUCCCACCUUUCUCCGUAAGUGAUCGAUAAAUCAACUAUCAACCCCUCUCCUACACCACCUUUAAUGCUAAACAUCUUUACAUUGGACCCCUAGUGAAAAUUAGUUUGGCUUCGCCGGUAAUUUCUACCAAACUUCAUACACGCCUACAAAGCCAAAUCUAUUUGAAAGAUUGGAUAGAGAGCAAACUUAAUAAUCUCCAAAUGCUUAAUAAGCCGCCGGAUAUCAAAUCCACCAUGACAUAAAGAUUAUGAAGGAUUUUAGUUAAU
rnacentral:lncRNA from 1 species